UACCCACCUUUGACAUGUACGGAAUUUGCCAGAGAUGGCUUAGUGCUCGAAAGAGAACCGUAACACAGGUGCUGCAUGGCUGUCGUCAGCUCGUGUCGUGAGAUGUUGGGUUAAGUCCCGCAACGAGCGCAACCCUUGUCAUUAGUUGCUACAUUUAGUUGGGCACUCUAAUGAGACUGCCGGUGAUAAACCGGAGGAAGGUGGGGAUGACGUCAAGUCCUCAUGGCCCUUAUAGGUGGGGCUACACACGUCAUACAAUGGCUGGUACAAAGGGUUGCCAACCCGCGAGGGGGAGCUAAUCCCAUAAAACCAGUCGUAGUCCGGAUCGCAGUCCGCAACUCGACUGCGAGAAGUCGGAAUUGCUAGUAAUCGUGGAUCAGAAUGUCACGGUGAAUACGUUCCCGGGUCUUGUACACACGC
rnacentral:rRNA from 1 species